rnacentral:rRNA from 1 species
UCCGUGACGGCGUGCCUUUUGCAUAAUGAGCCUACGAGUUACCGUUGCUAGCAAGGUUAAGGACUUCAGGUCCGGAUCCGUAGCGAAAGCGAGUCUGAAUAGGGCGCUUUAGUUAGUAGUGGUAGACGCGAAACCGUGUGAUCUACCCAUGGGCAGGUUGAAGCUGUAGUAACAUACAGUGGAGGCCCGAACCGGUUGACGUUGAAAAGUCUUCGGAUGACCUGUGGGUAGGGGUGAAAGGCCAAUCAAACUCGGAAAUAGCUCGUACUCCCCGAAAUGCAUUUAGGUGCAGCGUUGAUUUAUAGUUUUAUAGAGGUAGAGCUACUGAUUGGAUGCGGGGGCUUCACCGCCUACCAAUUCCUGACAAACUCCGAAUGCUAUAAAAUGUUAAUCAGCAGUGAGGGCAUGGGUGCUAAGGUCCAUGUCCGAGAGGGAAAGAACCCAGACCAUCAGCUAAGGUCCCCAAAUGUAUGUUAAGUUGAAUAAACGAGGUUGAACUGCUUAGACAGCUAGGAUGUUGGCUUGGAAGCAGCCAUUCAUUUAAAGAGUGCGUAACAGCUCACUAGUCGAGCGGUUCGGCAUGGAUAAUAAUCGGGCAUAAACAUACUACCGAAGCUAUGGACUUGUAAAAGUGGUAGGGGAGCAUUGUAGUGUCGUCGAAGGUGAAGCGUGAGCUUUGCUGGAGAAGCUACAAAAGAAAAUGUAGGCAUAAGUAACGAUAAUGCGGGCGAGAAACCCGCACUCCGAAAGACUAAGGUUUCCUCAGCUAUGCUAAUCAGCUGAGGGUUAGUCGGGACCUAACGCGAACCCGAAAGGGGUAGUGGAUGGACAACGGGUUAAUAUUCCCGUACCUGCUCACGCUAAAAGUGACGGAGGCGUAUAUUUGGUGCGAACUGACGGAAUAGUUCGUUGAAGGGAGCGGUAACGCCCCGAUAGUACACUGAGGCUACGGCCAAGGUGAUAAUCCAGAGAAGCGACUUCCAAGAAAAGCAAGUGAAGCAGCCCGUACCGCAAACCGACACAGGUAGUUGGGAUGAGAAUUCUAAGGUGCUCGAGAGAUUCAUGGCUAAGGAACUAGGCAAAAUAGACGCGUAACUUCGGGAGAAGCGUCGCCUGUAGUAAUACAGGCCGCAGUGAAAAGAUCCAAGCGACUGUUUAUCAAAAACACAGGGCUCUGCUAAAUCGAAAGAUGACGUAUAGGGCCUGACACCUGCCCGGUGCUGGAAGGUUAAGUGGAGGGCUUAGAGGUUUACCUCGAAGGUCUGAAAUGAAGCCCCAGUAAACGGCGGCCGUAACAAUAACGGUCCUAAGGUAGCGAAAUUCCUUGUCGGGUAAGUUCCGACCUGCACGAAUGGCGUAACGACUUCCCCGCUGUCUCCAACAUCGACUCAGCGAAAUUGAAUUGCCUGUCAAGAUGCAGGCUUCCCGCGGUUAGACGGAAAGACCCCGUGCACCUUUACUACAACUUUACACUGAUAACAGGCACAACAUGUGCAGAAUAGGUGGUAGGCUUUGAAGCAGAAACGCCAGUUUUUGUGGAGCCUCCUUUGAGAUACCACCCUUGUUUUGCUUGUUAUCUAACUGCGGUCCGUUAUCCGGAUCCAGGACCCUGUAUGGUGGGUAGUUUGACUGGGGCGGUCGCCUCCUAAAGCGUAACGGAGGCGCGCGAAGGUUGGCUCAGAGCGGUCGGAAAUCGCUCGUUGAGUGCAAUGGCA